rnacentral:rRNA from 1 species
AAGUCGCAAGCUCGCGAGAGUAAGCUAAUCUCUUAAAGCCGUUCUCAGUUCGGACUGUAGGCUGCAACUCGCCUACACGAAGUCGGAAUCGCUAGUAAUCGCGGAUCAGCAUGCCGCGGUGAAUACGUUCCCGGGCCUUGUACACACCGCCCGUCACACCAUGGGAGUUUGUAACGCCCAAAGUCGGUGGCCUAACCUUUUAUGGAGGGAGCCGCCUAAGGCGGGACAGAUGACUGGGGUGAAGUCGUAACAAGGUAUC